rnacentral:rRNA from 1 species
UACGGAGGGGCCUAGCGUUGUUCGGAAUUACUGGGCGUAAAGCGCACGUAGGCGGAUUGUUAAGUCAGGGGUGAAAUCCCGGGGCUCAACCUCGGAACUGCCUUUGAUACUGGCAAUCUCGAGUCCGGAAGAGGUGAGUGGAAUUCCUAGUGUAGAGGUGAAAUUCGUAGAUAUUAGGAAGAACACCAGUGGCGAAGGCGGCUCACUGGUCCGGUACUGACGCUGAGGUGAGAAAGCGUGGGGAGCAAACAGG